rnacentral:misc_RNA from 1 species
GGUGAAGCAUUCUUCAACAGCUGAAGGAGAUGACACAACGAUCACGAGGCGAAAGCCAAAUCGAAGGGAGAUGAUUGGACCAUAUCUUUGUGAAAGAUUGUGAAGGGUUCGGUGGAGGGGUUGAUUGAGAAGAUGGAGAUUGCCUAAAAUUGGAAGACUAGGAGGGCUUGGUGGGAGUUUUUUAUGCUGUGUUCUUGCUUCUAACCAAAACCUGAAAGCAAGAAGCAUAAACAAAACCGAUAAUGCAGAAUACAGCAAGGCGUC